UAUUAAUAUCGUCACAAAAUCAUCCUUUACACAUACAGAAGUCAAAAAUUCUGAUAAAAAACAAGAUUCUAAAAUCUUACAGUCAAAUUGACAUACUCCUGCAAAGAGUAUAGAGAUAGUCCCACCAAAUAUUCCUUUAAUUUUUUUUGUAGGUAUUCAACCUCCUCUAUUUCUUUCAACUCUCUAGGAAGUAUAUUGAAAAAUUUUUUCCCCAUAAAAAGUGUUUUUUCUUAAAGAAAUCCAAUCUAUGCCUCUCCUCGAUCCUUCCAAAUCUGGUGUUGUAGCCAUGUGUUUCGUUUCUUGAUCCUGUUGACGAGCAUUUUUUAAAGUACAUGACUACGUCAAAAAUAUAUUGCCCAUAGAUUGUUAAGAUUCCAAACUGUGGAAAAACGAGUUUUACUGAGUCUAAUCUUUUUAACUUCAUUAUUAUUCUGAGAGCUCUUUUUUGUUGUAAUAGUAUCUUAUCAAGAGUGGUACAGGGAUUUCAUUGUCUGUAUACUGCAGAUAUCUGUCAAUUGCCGCAAAGC